CACUGCCGCGCCCUUCAGGAGCUCAGGCUUCAGGCCGAGGAAGAAGCCCUGGCACCACCGAGCCAGGCCCAGGAGCUGGGGACCGGCUGCAGGGACACCGUCGAGUUGCUCCCAGUCUGGCAACGACCAUGCAGUGGGCCCCACACUAUGGCAGGGGGAAGCAAGAGGACAGAGGAAUUGGCAGCCUGGGGGGUCAUCAGGGAAGACUUCCUGGAGGAGGAGACCCCCGAAGGAACAAGCAAUGGGGGAUCUGCCUUUUUUAAUGAGGCCUGGGGUGAGUAAUUUUCUCCCGCCUGUGAAAAUAACAAUGAAGGCAAAAACAGUCACAACAGCAACCACCUAACAAGCACUUCAGCUGCGCCAGACCCCCGCGCCCUCCAUCCGCAUCAUCUGAUCUCAUCCGCACAGCAAUCUCAGGGCAAGUACAAUGGAGCCACCAUUUGCAGAGGAGGAAACUGAGGCUGACAGGGCCUCGGCGGCACCGUCCAUGUCCCCAACGUGCAGCCUGCGGCCACCGGUGCGGACUUUGCAGGGCCGUGGGGGUGGGGCAGUGCCCGGUGACCUAAUGUGGAGCAAAUGACCCUACAACUAAGUGCCUUGAAAACCAGAGCCAUCUCUUAUUUUGCCCGU
rnacentral:lncRNA from 1 species